CUUGAUGGACCCCAGCCACAACGGCCGAUCCACCGACCGCCCCUGCCCGUACGUGGCCAGCAGCGCCUGCGCCUC
rnacentral:antisense_RNA from 1 species